rnacentral:rRNA from 1 species
GACGUAGGAGGCGAGCGUUGUCCGGAUUCAUUGGGCGUAAAGAGCUCGUAGGCGGCUUGUUGCGUCGGAUGUGAAAGCUCGGGGCUUAACCCUGGGUCUGCAUUCGAUACGGGCAGGCUAGAGUGUGGCAGGGGAGACUGGAAUUCCUGGUGUAGCGGUGAAAUGCGCAGAUAUCAGGAGGAACACCGGUGGCGAAGGCGGGUCUCUGGGCCAAUACUGACGCUGAGGAGCGAAAGCGUGGGGAGCGAACAGG